CCAAAAUAAAAAAUACAUCCUUUUGUGAUUGUCCUACAGGUUAUAUCUCUACAAUAUGAGGCUUUGAUGCAUUAAUAACAUUUCACUCACAGUGUAGUUGAUGCAGUCACUUUCUGGCAAGAAAAUGACAUUAUAUGAGUUGAACUGGUCCUUUGAAGCUAUUUCAAGGGAAAUGGUUCAUGUAGAAAAGAGGAGGUAAAAUAAUACAGACGCAUGAGAAUAAAUUGUUUUGUGGAUUUAAACCAGUUGGUUUUGCAGACGAUCACUUUUUUGGCACAACACUGGCAGUAGUACACGGACACACCCACAGACAACACUUCCUAAAAGGUGAGUUUAAAGCAGUGACAAAAGAGGGACAGUCACACCCAGAGGAGCAGGAAAAGAUUGUUGUGUCCACAACAGACAUGGAAGAGAGGAGUGCCUAUGAGGACAAAGGCAAGGAGGGAGCAAUGUCUGCUGAGACUUCUUAUUCAGAUGGGAAAGAAUCUGGACAUUCAGAAACACAAUCUUCUCAGGGUGAACUGCCAGAGGCUGACUUGCUGGCUGACCUGACAUCAGUAUUGGCAUCCAACCCUUCAAGCCUGAAAGAGGUGGAUCUGACUAGAAAGUCUUUGAAGAAACGGGAGGUGGAGCAGCUGUGUGCUAGUCUGGAUAGUCCACUCUGCAGA